CUGCGAGUGACCGGGAAAAGCUCAAAUUUUGAAUCUGGCAGUCCUUGAGGCUGUCCGAGUUGUAAUCUAGAGAAGCGUUUUCCGCGCUGGACCGUGUAUAAGUUUCCUGGAAAGGAACGUCAUAGAGGGUGAAAAUCCCGUCUUUGACACGGACUCCCAGGGCUAUGUGAUGCGCUCUCGACGAGUCGAGUUGUUUGGGAAUGCAGCUCAAAUAGGGUGGUAAAUUCCAUCUAAAGCUAAAUACAGGCGAGAGACCGAUAGCGAACAAGUACCGUGAGGGAAAGAUGAAAAGAACUUUGGAAAGAGAGUUAAACAGUACGUGAAAUUGCUGAAAGGGAAACGUUUGAUGUCAGUCGCGUCGGCCGGGGAUCAGUCUGGCUUUAACUAGCUAGGCGUACUUCCUGGUCGACGGGUCAGCAUCAGUUUUGACCGUCGGAAAAGGGCUUGAGGAAUGUGGCACUCUCUUUACCGGGGGUGUGUUAUAGACUCUUGUCUUGAAUACGAUGGUCGGGACUGAGGAACCGCAGCACGGCCUUUAUGGUUUUCGGGGCUUAGGCUCACGUUUAGCGUGCUUAGGAUGCUGGCAUAAUGGCCUUAAGCGACCCGUCUUGAAACACGGACCAAGGAGUCUAACAUACAUGCGAGUG
rnacentral:rRNA from 1 species